UGUUGUGUUUUGCGUGUUGUGUGUUGUUUGUUCUAUGUUGUGUGUUGUGUUGUCUGUUGGUUGCAGGCUGACACAUGCUGCGUGUGUCGUCUGCUGUGUUUAUUUCGUUGUUUCAACUUUUGUGUGUUAUGCGUAGAGCGUAUCAUCUGUGAUUUAUGAGUUAUGGUUAUUUAAGGGUUGGGGCAUUUAGGUAUUAGAAGGAUUUAUAAGUUAGGAAGAUUUAUGGUUUAGAAAUUUAGGAGUUAAGGGUAUUUAGGGGGUUACGACUUUCAAUAAUGGUGCCUAAUACAAAAGUAUAGGACAUCUAUGUGUACAUACUCAAUCUUUGUACAUUGAGAUGAUUGACAAUUUGCUUAUGGUUCAUGGGGUGUGGUGGUGUGUGUUUUUCUUUUUUGCGUUGUGUAUUAUGUGUUAUGUGUUAUUAAUUGUGUUAUGUGUUGUGUGGUUUGUCGUGUGUUGGACGUUCUUUAUUAUUAGUUCUUUAUUAUUAGUUGUGUGUUGUCUACUUUGUUGUGUUAUGUUAUGUUUUGUGUGUUGUGCACAGAGCCUAUAAUGUAUGAUAUAUGGGUUAGGUGUUAGGGGUUACGGGUUAGUAGUUAGGCGUUAUAGGUUUUCAUUGUCAUGUUUGUAUUACUUUUGUUAUUUCCGGCAUUUACUCGAAAUAAUUGUGGUUUUAAACUUAGACUAGGUAAUUCUGCUAUUUAUAUUGAUUUAGGCUUUAUUGACGUAAAAUGUUAAAUAUUAUAGGUUCUUAAGAUACAUUAUCUUUUAAUUGUUCGAGUAUUAUGUACAAGCAGAAUUAUAUCAUUUUUGCUUUACUGGAGUAGAAGGUCUAGUUUUACGAGUUUGUAAGGUAAAUUAUUUUUUUCUUAUGUGAGAACUAUGUAGUUUUUGUCAUGAAUUAUCAUUCUUAUUUAUUUGUAUAUUUCUUUGUCUUACAAAAACUGUAGUUUGAGAUGUAGUUUCACUUGUUAUCAACAUCGUGUUGAAUUUGAAAUUGCGUUUAGUUGCAGAUUCGAGAUGGGGAGGACUUCAAUUCAAGAAACAAAAGUUGAAUUUUCAAUAAUAAGAUGUUUAAUUCAUCUUUUGAUCCAACUUUUUUUGUCCUUUGUUCAAUAUUAUGAUUUUUUUUUUUGUGAACUCUUUCUCUAGGCAUUAUUCUAGCUAACAAAACAUGAACAAUUGUUUGUGAUUAGCAUUUUUCAAGGAUGUGGUGUUCGAGGAUUUGUAGAUUUUCUGAAUAGUGGUCGAAGGAAAGGAAUUGUAAGAUCUAGAAUUACAUGUUGACUUAGGUUGGAGAAAGGGAGGAUUUGUAGAUCCAAGCAAUGGAAGUUGGAUUUUCAAUAAUAAGGUGAUUGAACCAUCUUGCAAUAUAUUUGAAGAAGAUCUUUGCAAAAAAGUUUUCACACUUCAAGUUAGAAUGGUGAAAGAUGAAUUCAUGGACUCUGAACUUCCUUGGAUUCUGCAUUUUGUUUUCUAAUUCCUGAGACAGGAAAUUUUGGUCUUUAUUGUGAGUUUACUUUAUUUUCAUCGUGGAAUUGUUCCAGUUCAUUAUUGCUGAGAAUUAAGUGAAUUGAGAAGGUCAGUGAAGAAUAAGAUACUUGUAGAAGUGGGAAUUGUAACCUAGUGUUUGGCUCCACCAUUGAAUGUUAAUAAUCAAUAAUUUACUAAUCUCUUGGUCGAAGAUCAUUCUUAAGGUAUUAUCUUACAUUCAAUUACCUAUUUCUUGUAAUAUUAUCACUUAUAUAUGUUGUAUUUGUCCUUUAUGAUAAAAUUUCUUUAUCAUUUCAUUAUUUUUUAUGUGGUGUAGCUUGCUGGCUUGAAUUCAACACUACAAGGAAAACGUUGAAUUUCUGUACUUGUUUCCUGUGUUUCCACCAUCAUUAAUACCAUGUUUGUAUUGCUUUUGCUAUUGCAGGCAUUAAGUCGAAGCAGUGAUGGUUCUCAACCUCUACUUAGUAAUUAUUCUAUUUCUAUCCAUUUCUAACCAUUGAAUGUUAAUAAUCAAUAUUUUACUAAUCUUUUGGUUGAAGAUCAUUCUUAAGGUAUUAUGUUACAUUCAAUUACCUAUUUCUUGUAAUAUUAUCAGUUGUAUAUGUUGUAUUUGUCCUUUAUGAUAAGAUUUCUUUAUCAUUUCAUUAUUUUUUAUGUGGUGUAGCUUGGUGGCUUGAAUUCAACACUACUAGGCAAACAUUGACUUUCUGUACUUGUUUCCUGUGUUUCCACCAUCAUUAAUACCAUGUUUGUAAUUCUUUUGCUAUUGCAGGCAUUGAGUCGAAGCAGUUAUAGUUCUCAACCUCUACUUAGUAAUUAUUCUAUUUUUGUCCAUUUCUCACCAUUGAAUGUUAAUAAUCUAUAUUUUACUAAUCUUUUGGUUGAAGAUCAUUCUUAAGGUAUUAUGUUACAUUCAAUUACCUAUUUCUUGUAAUAUUAUUAGUCAUAUAUGUUGUAUUUGUGCUUUAUGAUAAGAUUUCUUUAUCAUUUCAUAUUUUUUAUGUAGUGUAGCUUGGUGGCUUGAAUUCAACACUACAAGGCCAACAUUGACUUUCUGUACUUGUUUCCUGUGUUUCCACCAUCAUUAAUACCAUGUUUGUAAUUCUUUUGCUAUUGCAGGCAUUGAGUCGAAGCAGUUAUAGUUCUCAACCUCUACUUAGUAAUUAUUCUGUUUUUGUCCAUUUCUCACCAUUGAAUGUUAAUAAUCAAUAUUUUACUAAUCUUUUGGUUGAAGAUCAUUCUUAAGGUAUUAUGUUACAUUCAAUUACCUAUUUAUUGUAUUAUUAUCAGUCGUAUAUUUUGUAUUUGUCCUUUAUGAUAAGAUUUCUUUAUCAUUUCAUUAUUUUUUAUGUGGUGUAGCUUGGUGACUUGAAUUCAACACUGCAAGGCAAACAUUGACUUUCUGUACUUGUUUCCUGUGUUUCCACCAUCAUUAAUACCAUGUUUGUAAUUCUUUUGCUAUUGCAGGCAUUGAGUCGAAGCAAUUAUGGAUCUCAACCUCUACUUAGUAAUUAUUCUAUUUUUAUCCUUUUCUCACAAUUGAAUGUUAAUAAUAAAUAUUUUACUAAUCUUUUGGUUGAAGAUCAUUCUUAAGGUAUUAUGUUACAUUCAAUUACCUAUUUCUUGUAAUAUUAUCAGUCAUAUAUGUUGUAUUUGUCCUUUAUGAUAGAGAUUUCUUUAUCAUUUCAUUAUUUUUUAUGUGGUGUAGCUUGGUAGCUUGAAUUCAACACUACAAGGCAAACGUCGACUUUCUGUACUUGUUUCCUGUGUUUCCACCAUAACCAUUGCCAUGUUUGUAUUGCUUUUGUUAUUGCAGCCAUUGAGUCGAAGCAGUUAUGGUUCUCAACCUCUACUUAGUAAUUAUUCUAUUUUUGUCCAUUUCUCACCAUUGAAUGUUAAUAAUCAAUAUUUUACUAAUCUUUUGGUUGAAGAUCAUUCUUAAGGUAUUAUGUUACAUUCAAUUACCUAUUUCUUGUAAUAUUAUUAGUCAUAUAUGUUGUAUUUGUGCUUUAUGAUAAGAUUUCUUUAUCAUUUCAUUAUUUUUUAUGUAGUGUAGCUUGGUGGCUUGAAUUCAACACUACAAGGCCAACAUUGACUUUCUGUAUUUGUUUCCUGUGUUUCCACCAUCGUUAAUACCAUGUUUGUAAUUCUUUUGCUAUUGCAGGCAUUGAGUCGAAGCAGUUAUGGUUCUCAACCUCUACUUAGUAAUUAUUCUAUUUCUAUCCAUUUCUCACCAUUGAAUGUUAAUAAAUAAUAUUUUACUGAUCUUUUGGUUGAAGAUCAAUCUUAAGGUAUUAUGUUACAUUCAAUUACCUAUUUAUUGUAUUAUUAUCAGUCGU